GCGGAUGUGGUGUAACGGUAACAUUAAAGGUUUCCAACCUUUCGUUGCGAGUUCGAAUCUCGUCAUCCGCU
rnacentral:tRNA from 1 species